GCUUUCCUACGGGGCGCAGCAGUGGGGAAUAUUGGACAAUGGGGGGAACCCUGAUUCAGCGACGCGUCGUGAGUGAAGAAGUAUUUCGGUAUGUAGAGCUUUAUCAGCAGGGAAGAAAGAAAUGAUGGUACCUGACUAAGAAGCCCCGGCUAACUACGUGCCAGCAGCCGCGGUAAUACGUAGGCGGCAAGCGUUAUCCGGAUUUACUGGGUGUAAAGGGGGCGUAGACGGUU
rnacentral:rRNA from 1 species